UACGUAGGAGGCAAGCGUUGUCCGGAAUUACUGGGCGUAAAGCGCGUGUAGGCGGUCUGAAUAGUCUGCUGUGAAAGCGCCUGGCUUAACCGGGCGAGGUCGGCGGAAACUCUCAGACUGGAGGCCGGUAGAGGGGGGUGGAAUUCCCGGUGUAGUGGUGAAAUGCGUAGAGAUCGGGAGGAACACCUGUGGCGAAGGCGGCCCCCUGGGCCGCGCCUGACGCUGAGACGCGAAGGCUAGGGGAGCGAACGGGG
rnacentral:rRNA from 1 species